UGUAGGCGCACCAGAGGCACAUCCUGGAGACAAAAUGAUAGAAGAGCUAAUUUGGACUACUUGGGCCAAGUACAAGAAACCCAUUAACGACGAAACUGUUCUGGAAUUCGGAAGAACCAUCCGCAGUCAUGGUUACGAAGGCGGCCAGUUGAAAAUCGACGAUUCUUGGGAGACCUGCUAUGGAUCUCAGCAAUUCACCGAAGAAAAGUUCGCGAAUAUGAAAAACACCGUUAACACAUUACAUGAGGACGGAUGGAGAGUUAGUCUAUGGAUUCAUCCUUUUGUUAACGACGAUUGCGAAGAAAAUUCCGCCAUUGGAAAGCGUCUAGGUAAAUCUUUGGAUACUAUUUGAGCUGAUAUUCUAGUAAGUGAUUUCAGACUAUUUUGUGCACAAUCCACAAAAUGAGACCAACGCUGUUUGGUGGAAUAGCGAUUAUGGACACCAAAUCGACUUCACUAAACCGGCGGCUGCACAGUGGUGGUCGGACCGAGUGAAGAGCAUCCAAGAAACCAUUGGUAUGGACAGUUUUAAGUUCGAUGCUGGAGAAGUUGAUUAUGUGAAUCAGCCUGGAGUAUAUGCUGAUGCUGAAUCCAGUCCCAAUGCUCUCACUCAUUCCUA
rnacentral:lncRNA from 1 species